GACGAACGCUGGCGGCGUGCUUAACACAUGCAAGUCGAACGGAAAGGCCCUGCUUUUGUGGGGUGCUCGAGUGGCGAACGGGUGAGUAACACGUGAGUAACCUGCCCUUGACUUUGGGAUAACUUCAGGAAACUGGGGCUAAUACCGGAUAGGAGCUCCUGCUGCAUGGUGGGGGUUGGAAAGUUUCGGCGGUUGGGGAUGGACUCGCGGCUUAUCAGCUUGUUGGUGGGGUAGUGGCUUACCAAGGCUUUGACGGGUAGCCGGCCUGAGAGGGUGACCGGCCACAUUGGGACUGAGAUACGGACCAGACUCCUACGGGCGGCAGCAGUGGGGAAUAUUGCACAAUGGGCGGAAGCCUGAUGCAGCAACGCCGCGUGCGUGAUGACGGCCUUCGGGUUGUAAACCGCUUUCGCCUGUGACGAAGCGUGAGUGACGGUAAUGGGUAAAGAAGCACCGGCUAACUACGUG
rnacentral:rRNA from 1 species